GAUGAACGCUGGCGGCGUGCCUAACACAUGCAAGUCGAGCGAUCUUCUUCGGAAGAGAGCGGCGGACGGGUGAGUAACGCGUGGGUAACCUGCCCUGUACACACGGAUAACAUACCGAAAGGUAUGCUAAUACGAGAUAAUAUGCUUUUAUCGCAUGGUAGAAGUAUCAAAGCUCCGGCGGUACAGGAUGGACCCGCGUCUGAUUAGCUAGUUGGUAAGGUAACGGCUUACCAAGGCGACGAUCAGUAGCCGACCUGAGAGGGUGAUCGGCCGCAUUGGAACUGAGACACGGUCCAAACUCCUACGGGAGGCAGCAGUGGGGAAUAUUGCACAAUGGGCGAAAGCCUGAUGCAGCAACGCCGCGUGAGCGAUGAAGGCCUUCGGGUCGUAAAGCUCUGUCCUCAAGGAAGAUAAUGACGGUACUUGAGGAGGAAGCCCCGGCUAACUACGUGCCAGCCGCCGCCGUAAGAC
rnacentral:rRNA from 1 species